UACGUAGGGGGCAAGCGUUGUCCGGAAUCAUUGGGCGUAAAGCGCGUGUAGGCGGCUCGAUAAGUCUGCUGUGAAAGUCCAGGCUCAACCCUGGGAUGCCGGUGGAUACUGUCGAGCUCGAGUCCGGAAGAGGCGAGUGGAAUUCCUGGUGUAGCGGUGAAAUGCGCAGAUAUCAGGAGGAACACCAAUGGCGAAGGCAGCUCGCUGGGACGGUACUGACGCUGAGACGCGAAAGCGUGGGGAGCGAACAGG
rnacentral:rRNA from 1 species